UACGUAGGGUGCAAGCGUUGUCCGGAAUUAUUGGGCGUAAAGAGCUCGUAGGCGGUUUGUUGCGUCGGCUGUGAAAUCCCGAGGCUCAACCUCGGGUCUGCAGUCGAUACGAGCAAACUAGAGUGUUGCAGGGGAGACUGGAAUUCCUGGUGUAGCGGUGAAAUGCGCAGAUAUCGGAAGGAACACCAGUGGCGAAAGCGGCUUCCUGGUCCAGCACCGACGUUCAGGCACGAAAGCGUGGGGAGCAAACAGG
rnacentral:rRNA from 1 species